UACAGAGGUCUCAAGCGUUGUUCGGAUUCAUUGGGCGUAAAGGGUGUGUAGGUGGCGCGCUAAGUCGGGUGUGAAAUUUCGGAGCUUAACUCCGAAACUGCAUUCGAUACUGGCGUGCUUGAGGACUGGAGAGGAGAUUGGAAUUUACGGUGUAGCAGUGAAAUGCGUAGAUAUCGUAAGGAAGACCAGUGGCGAAGGCGGAUCUCUGGACAGUUACUGACACUGAGGCACGAAGGCCAGGGGAGCAAACGGG
rnacentral:rRNA from 1 species